rnacentral:rRNA from 1 species
GUGAGGAAUAUUGCCCAAUGGACGCAAGUCUGAGGCAGCAACGCCGCGUGGGCGAUGAAGGCCUUCGGGUUGUAAAGCCCUUUUCCGGGGGAAGAGGAAGGACGGUACCUCAGGAAUAAGUCACGGCUAACUACGUGCCAGCAGCCGCGGUAAUACGUAGGUGGCAAGCGUUAUCCGGAUUCACUGGGCGUAAAGCGCGUGCAGGCGGUUUCGUAAGUCGGACGUGAAAGCUCCUGGCUUAACUGGGAGAGGUCGUUCGAUACUGCGGGGCUUGAGGUCGGGAGAGGGACGUGGAAUUCCCGGUGUAGUGGUGGAAUGCGUAGAUAUCGGGAGGAACACCAGUGGCGAAGGCGACGUCCUGGUCCGCACCUGACGCUGAGACGCGAAAGCGUGGGUAGCGAACGG